rnacentral:rRNA from 1 species
UACAGAGGCCUCGAGCGUUAGGCGGAAUCACUGGGCUUAAAGCGUGUGUAGGUGGAUGCCUAAGUACCUUGUGAAAUCCCACGGCUUAACCGUGGAACUGCUGGGUAUACUGGGCGUCUUGAGCCACUCAGGGGCUACCGGAACAAGCGGUGGAGCGGUGAAAUGCGCAGAUAUCAGGAGGAACACCGGUGGCGAAGGCGGGUCUCUGGGCCGAUACUGACGCUGAGGAGCGAAAGCGUGGGGAGCGAACAGG